rnacentral:lncRNA from 10 species
GCGGAGACUUUAGAGGCAUUGGAAAAGGGCGGGCGGCGGCAGAGUGGGCCGAGGCGGCACCCGAGGAGGCCACGGGGGUACUCGGGGUCCCACUAGAAGCUCGCUUGCCGCGCGUGGGUUUGGAGGAUUUGGGACAACAUCUACAACUGCAGGUUCUGCAUUCAGCUUUUCUGCCCCAACUAACACAGGCACUACUGGACUCUUUGGUGGUACUCAGAACAAAGGUUUUGGAUUUGGUACUGGUUUUGGCACAACAACGGGAACUAGUACUGGUUUAGGUACUGGUUUGGGAACUGGACUGGGAUUUGGAGGAUUUAAUACACAGCAGCAGCAGCAAACUACAUUAGGUGGUCUCUUCAGUCAGCCUACACAAGCUCCUACCCAGUCCAACCAGCUGAUAAAUACUGCGAGUGCUCUUUCUGCUCCAACGCUGUUGGGAGAUGAGAGAGAUGCUAUUUUGGCAAAAUGGAAUCAACUGCAGGCCUUUUGGGGAACAGGAAAAGGGUAUUUCAACAAUAAUAUUCCGCCAGUGGAAUUCACACAAGAAAAUCCCUUUUGCCGAUUUA